GAUCUUUAUAUAUUUAUUAUUUUUAUGAAAUUAAGUUAAUUUUUUUUUUAAAAAUUUUAUUAUAUUAUAUUGGGGUAAUAAUAAAAUUAUAAUAAUUUUUAUUUAUUAAUUUCAAUUAUAAUUGUAUAAAUUGAUCCAAUAUUAUUGAUUAAAAAAUUAAGUUACCUUAGGGAUAACAGCAUAAUGAUUUUUGAGAGUUCUUAUUGAUAAAAUAGUUUGU
rnacentral:rRNA from 1 species